AGGCAAGAGCAGUUGUCCUCCUCCUUUGUCCCUUUGGAAGAACAGCGAGGACCACGUGAAAGAGCGGCCAGCACUCUUUAGAAGUCAGUGGGUCUGGUCCUUACCUGAUGGAGUGUUGUGAUGCAUCAAGGGGGACUUCUCACAAGUCUCUCUGUCUCUCUCCCCCAUAGAAUUGAAGCCAUCACGAGCUCAGGACAGAUGGGUUCCUUCAUACGUCUGAAGCAGUUCUUGGAGAAAUGUCUGCAACGCAGGGAGAUCCCUGUCCCUAAAGGCUUUCUGACGCCCUCCUUCUGGCGCUCUUGAUGUCCUCCAUCAUGUUGUGUGGCAGAAGGGGCAACAAUAAAGCAACUGAGACAGCGGGUUUGGAAGAAUCAUGUCAGACUGAGAAAUUUGUCAGUGUGUUUUAUAUAUUUGUACCAUGUGAAUGAGGCUUUCUAGUUCACAGCCUUUUGUUAGUCUCUUGUCAGGUUUGUAGUUCUCUAGGUGUCACGGAUAGAUACAGAACUGGCCUUUAAUUUUCACAAGUUACCAGAAGAGGUGAGAAGCACUUAGCGCUUGGCUGCACCCUUCGUCUCUAGUGUCUUUCAGGAAAUUGGUGAUCCUCUAUGUGCUUAACUGAGUCCACCAUUGUCCCUGCCACACUGGCCCACCCCUGUUCAUGCACGUACUUAGAGUAAAUCUCCUGAUAGUCACUUUAAAGGAUCAGGUAAUGUUUGCAGUCUGGGGAUUAGGUACAGUACUUCACACUGUGUGGCUGUGGAGUAUGUAUGUAUGUUCAGAAGACAUGUAUGACGUUGUUAUGGACUGAACCCGAGUGCAUCAGGUACUGGGUAUAUGGAUCAUGACUGGGGACAUGCAGCCAGAGUACUCUGUCUCCUUGAUUUGGAAUUUG
rnacentral:lncRNA from 1 species